UUCAGUGAUUUCAUAAUUUGAAUAGUUUAGUGUUCUUGCAUCCUUUAUUUAUUUUAUUCUUGGAAGCAAGUUUAUAAUUCCUGGUUAAAGGGAUUAUUUUAUUAUUUAUAGAUUUAUUUGUUAUUAGAAAUGAGAAUCCCAUUUUUAUAUAUAUAAUUAUAGAUGUAUUUGAAGCUUAUCUCAAUUUCAGUUGGAAUGAAGCUAGCAUAUAUAUUGAUUUGAUUACAUAUUAUAUCAUUAUAUUAGUGAGAAUAGUAUUUGUGGCUAUUAGCAAUAGCAAUCCGUAAGCUUUCACAAGAAUGCAGAUAUUUUUACAUUUAUUUAUUUAUUUUAUUUGGGGAUAUCUAUUAACAAAUCUUAAGAGGGAAGCUAAAUUUCAUUUCCUUUUUUUCCUGCUAAGUGUCGUCCCCUACCCCUUACCCAUCAAACCUCAGUUUUAGUUUGCUUUCAACCUUCAAGGAGAUUCAGCCGCCGCCUCUGCUCCGACCGCCGUCGGCUGCCGUCGAGUCCAAGUCCGGCGUCUCGUCUGUUCUUCCCCGGUGCCCCUCGCACUACUCUCAUCUCCUCUCGAUUUAGCGAAGAACCCAAAUGAGAAGCCCUAAUUUCAAAAUCCGAAAUCGUCGUCACCCGAGCCCGAAAUUCGGCAAUACAGCAGCCUCCUAUUCGACGUGGUCGAAGUUCUUGCAUCGGAAGUCCUCCCCGUUUCCCCUUCUUUUUCGAUGUGGAGCCCUAAUUCUUAGAAGAAGGAAAUUACUACUGUCGCGACUGGAAGGCCAACGAACGGCUGAGCUUCGCCCGUCUCUGCCUUGAAUCCAUGCUUGAGAAUGAGAGAAAGGAAAACGAGCCCUGAUUCUUUUUCUACUCCCUCCGUCAUGGUUCGGCUGCCACCUCCGCCGUCUGUGGAAGAUCGGCGAUUCAGCGGCGCCGCUCCAUUCACGACGCUGCUACUGCUGCUACACGAUCCCCUCCGAGGCAGCAAGCGCUGCCGUCAUCAUCGUCGUCUUGGCUUGACUGAACAGGGUCGCGUCCCUCGUCGUCGAAAAGUUAAGUAUUCUACUUGUUAUUGUAGAAAGUAUUUGAUGUUGCUUGUGAUUUCUGAGUUCAUGCCAAAAUAAACGAGGCAUAGGUGACUUCUCUCUAAGAUUCCUAAAGUGAGAUAUUAAACAAAAUGUUAUAUGUUUUUAAGUUAGUAAUUACUUAGAAUUAAGUAAAAUGAUGGCAGGAAUCACAACUUCAUCCCAAAGCUCCGAUUUUGACCCUCCCUCAAGAACCCUAGAAUUUCAUCUUCUUUAUAUUUGUAUCGAUUGACUAUGUAUACAUGUCUAUAUGUAUGUGAAGAAUUGAUUGGGAUCUAUUUGGGUAUUUAUUCACAAGAAAACAUGAUUCCCUAAUAGUUUAGUUUAAGUGGAUUUGGGAGUUCUUGGAAUAAACUAGCUACAUGUUCGAUGCUUGUGUAAUUGUACUCCUUGAAUUUUUUAAAAUGAGAUUAUAUGAUAAUAAUUGGAGGAUAUCAAGCAUGCUACUAUAUGUUGUGUGUUGAACAUGAAUUAAGUUUAAGCUAAAGCAUGCUAAUGUGUAGUAAGAUGAUGUAAUUGAGUUCCUAUGGUUUGUAUUUGACAAACAUAUGAAUUAUAUGUUAAGUUGAAACAAAGGGGCUUUGCUGUCAGUUUUCGGCUUGACAGGGCAGUAUGUUUCGAGGUGCUUCUGAUGGUGUUCUCGUAGUCUAAAUAACUUGAAAUUUUUACUGUAAUAACUUCAUCAUGUGUAGUCGUUCUCUGCAAAAUUUCAGCUAAAUCCGAGACCAAUAGACAUGUCAAACUAUUUUCUGAAAUGUACUGCACGGAGCAGCAGAGUUCAGUGGCAGAUUCUGUCUUUGGUCAUAUAACUUCUUAUCCACUUGAGAUUUUGUGUUUUUGUAAAUUUCUUAGAAAUAUAGACGUUAAUAGCUUUCUAAAGAAGUGAGGUUUAUAUUUUUUCUUUGAAGUGGUUGAUUUUAUAUAAUUUUUCAAAGUUAGGAUUCAAAUGGGUAUGUUUCUUAAACUUGUGAUUGGUAGUUAAUUGAGAUCCUAAACUACUAAACUCAAAUUAAGGUUUUAUUGUUCUAAUUACCUAUUGAGGAUUAUUGAUUACUAAGCUUGUUAAUAUGAUAGUUGAUGGACAUAAUUAUGUUUAUAUGAUUAAUUACUUUGGGAUUUUGUGUUUUACAUGUAUGGUUAGUUGUAAAUUGAUCUCUAUGGAAUGGAUUUGUUUACUUUAAACUUUCUCAAGUAGAGGAAUUCCUAUAAGAUAGGAAUAUUAGUUUAUACUUUCUUAAAGUUCAUAAGAGUUAGUAUAUUGGUUAGUUUAGUUGAUUCAACCCUAGCUCUGCAGAAGAUUAAAAGUUUAUUGGGAUGUUAUUUAUAGCUAAUUCUUCUUAUCUAGUUAUCCAAUCUUAUUUUAGAAUCUUGCUAUUAUGAAGGUGACAGUAGCAAUGAUAGAUAAGUGAGCAAGAGUUCCUACACCGUUAAGCGUAUCAGGUGGGCUUUCUAAAUUCAGAAUUUGAAGUGCGCACUAUUUAAUGAUGUUUAUAUGAAUGAAAGUUAUAUUAAAAUUAUUGACUUGCCAAAUUAUUUUAUGAGCUUGUAUGUUACCAUCUACGAGAGAUAGACGAUAUCGGCCCUAUGCUGAAGCGAGAUGUCAGUAAGGGUUUGUGCACAUAGUUGUGACCGUGAGCCAUCGAGCGGGUUGGCCGGUCACUGUGAUCGGGAGCCUUCGGGCCGAUCACUGUGUUUGAGAAGGAGGCCUACUUCUCAACACAAGGUUACAUGAUGCGUAGUUAUGGUUAAGCUGUGAUGCGGAUGGAAGCGAGCAUAACAAAGUCUUGAUGUUAAUGUGUUAAAUUAGGCUCAGGAUUUCAUGUCCUCAUACAUGUAAUCCACUUGAGUUAUUUCCGCUGCAACACUUAAUGUACUUUAGUUUAUUGAUGUGUUGUACAGAUUUUACACCAAUAGCUUUGAGAAUUAUGUCACUUAGACAACUUGUCGUUGUGUUAUUGUAAGUUGUCUACUCGUGAGUUUUAAAAGUGAUUAUUUAUAAUUACCAAACAUUAUGGUAAAAUAUUGUUUAAGCAUGAUGAUUAUUGUUAUUGAAACAUCUUUUAUUUUUCCAUUUUCUUUUUCCCUUCCCCAGUCACACAUUUUCCCCGACUUAACUGUUGUUAGUUUAGGUCGGGCUGUGACAGAGUGGUAUCAGAGCAGGUCAUUUGCUCUGAGCCUAAAUAUCCUUUUGAGUCUAGUCUAAAUUUGAAUCUUUGGACUAGUAUGAGUAAUAUAGUAAAAGCUCUGCUCUCCAUCUCAUCCAGCUUAGCCAGGUACGGAUUUUCAGAGUUUUAAAGUAGCAUGUUACAUUGUUAAACAAGUUUGAGAUAUGAGUUGCAGUUUUGCAAGUAUUAGUAUGAUGGAAACUUAUAUAUUUUAAAAUGUGCAUGGACAACAUGAGUUAUUUUUGAGUAUCCUCUGCCUAUACGAACUUUUGAGAUUUGAAUGGAUAAAAGUGUUAUUCAUAUAUUAAUAUUUAUAUUUUGAUAUGUGGAUGGAGAUAUAGACAGUUUGAUGAUACAAUAAGGAUGUAUAUCAGUCGCGAUGUAACCUAGUACUAGUAGUGAUGUUAUACAGUUAGGGCACCACAAUUAGUACUAAGAGCUUUUUGCAACAUAUAUUCCUAUCUUUCGUAUGAGAACUCAAUUGAGGCAAAUUUUCCCAUGAUAUGAAACGACCGAAGUAGUCAUUUACUAGGUUGUUGAGCUUUAAUUGCUUAGAUGAUUGAAAUUUUGUGUAUGAGUUUUAUACUUUAGUUGGUUUAUAGUUAUGUAGCAGUUUGACUUUACGGAUGGAAUAAAAGCUCAGUUAUGAGGAAUUUUGUGUAUUUACUCGGCAUGAUAUCUCAAAGAAGAAAUGGAAAUUUGCCAUCCGCCAUGUGAAUAAUUUAGAGGAAAGUUUUUCAUCAUCAAGAUCCCCCUAUUCAUAGUAGAGUUUCACGAAUUUCGCUUCCUUAGAUGCAAUGAUUAAGAGCGCCUUCUUGUAUGUUAUUUCAACUACAAGGAUCGAGUGGGAGACGAAGCAGAAGAUACAUACCCUCGAGCGAUUAGAGAAUCUUAUUUGGGGCCAGGUCACAGAAGUUUCUAUGAAGUACAUGUUCCCAGAAGCUACCAUAAGCAAAUGAACAUGAUCGUGGUUGAAUAUGAUUGAGAGUUUAGAGACAUAUCUCGAUAUACGCCUUAUAAGGUUGAAACAUAGAGUAGUUGUAACUUCUCAUAGAGUUUUGAUGUAGUGCCUUUGCUUGUUGGCAAGCCAAACAUUCCUUCAGCUAAUGAAGCUAUAUCUCAUUUCAUCCCUCCCCACCAAAAGUUUUGUUUGAGAUUUUGAUAUAAUUUAAUGUUUUUUUUUUGGUGGGCAGUAUAUAGCGUAUCAUGAGCUUUACUCAUGAUUUUAUUUCUCAAUUGUUCAGUAUUGGGUACACAACUUUUCUCAAACAUGAUAGCAGUACCCCUAGCUUUUUGGCAAGUAUUGAUCUCUUCUAUCAGAAUCCUUACCCGUAAUUCUUCCACCUUUUCAUUUUCUCUUGUACUUUAACAAUUCUUGUUCUCAAAUCAGAAAUUAUUGUUAACAUUGCAAUUACAGCUUCUCUGGUUUGCUGUGGUUGAACCAUUUUUAAAUCCAACUUUCAAAGCCUUGAUGAGAAUUUUUCUCCAUGGGUAAGGAGAGAAAUCCUUAGUUAACUUGAAUUUUUUCUACUCAAUGCAUCCACUACUAUAUUGGCUUUGUGUGGAUGAUAAUUUAUUCCACAAUCAUAAUCCUUUAUUAAUUCGAGCUAUAUACUUUGCUUCAUACUUAGAUCUUUUUGCUCGAAUAAGUCUUUUAAAUUUUUAUAAGGUGUAUCAAUUCCACAUCUCGUUCCAUAAUACUAUUGUUGCUAGUUCAAAGUUGUGUUGAGCAAUUUAGUUCUUGCGGUCUAAGUUUUCAUGACCCAUUAACAAUAAUUCUUUCACUUUGCAACAAUGCUCAACCAAGUCCAUUUAUGAUACACAGGACCGAUUUCAUAUGGUCUUUCAACUUUGAGAAUUCGGCCAAAUUUAAAAUAGCCUUUCAUUCAGUAACACAUGAGCAAUUUGAGGGAAAUCUUUAGACCUUGGAAGAUGUGAUACAUACUAAUGUAUUAGAGCGAAGAAGUGGCUGCUUUAGUGGUAGGGACACUGACAAUCGUGGGUGAUUCCGGGUUCCAAAACUCUCCUUUCGAAAAAGAGUUGUCUUUUCCUCAACUCGGAAGGAGCGAAUUCCCCGCUGAUAGAGGGCAGGAGACGGCCAUCUCAAGGUGCAUAACGCGUACUCAGAAGCCGCACUAUGCACUAGAUCGAAGGAUGAAUUGGGAAAAAGCUUUUGCUACUCAUCGAAUUUGCCUACAAUAGUAGUUUUCGUGCAACAAUUGAUAUGACACCAUACGGAGCUUAUUGUGGAAAGAAAUGAGGUAAGUGAAAGAAAAGUGACAGGACAUGAUGUGAUUGAAGAAAUGAUUACGCUUAUCAUGACAAAUUCGACAUCUGCUCAAGGAACCUGAAGAGCGACAUACACUUCAAAUUUCGAGGACGAAAUUUCUUUAAGGGGGAGAGGAUGUAACACCCAGCAUUUUCACUACAGUAUAUAUAUUAUUAUUAAUAUUAUUUUUUUUAUUUUCUAUCUUUUAAAAGAAGAAAGAAAAGUAGAAUCACUGAGAUGAGAUGAGAUAUUAUUAUAAUACCAUGAGCUUUUAAUUCAGUGAUUUCAUAAUUUGAAUAGUUUAGUGUUCUUGCAUCCUUUAUUUAUUUUAUUCUUGGAAGCAAGUUUAUAAUUCCUGGUUAAAGGGAUUAUUUUAUUAUUUAUAGAUUUAUUUGUUAUUAGAAAUGAGAAUCCCAUUUUUAUAUAUAUAAUUAUAGAUGUAUUUGAAGCUUAUCUCAAUUUCAGUUGGAAUGAAGCUAGCAUAUAUAUUGAUUUGAUUACAUAUUAUAUCAUUAUAUUAGUGAGAAUAGUAUUUGUGGCUAUUAGCAAUAGCAAUCCGUAAGCUUUCACAAGAAUGCAGAUAUUUUUACAUUUAUUUAUUUAUUUUAUUUGGGGAUAUCUAUUAACAAAUCUUAAGAGGGAAGCUAAAUUUCCUUUCCUUUUUUCCCUGCUAAGUGUCGUCCCCUACCCCUUACCCAUCAAACCUCAGUUUUAGUUUGCUUUCAACCUUCAAGGAGAUUCAGCCGCCGCCUCUGCUCCGACCGCCGUCGGCUGCCGUCGAGUCCAAGUCCGGCGUCUCGUCUGUUCUUCCCCGGUGCCCCUCGCACUACUCUCAUCUCCUCUCGAUUUAGCGAAGAACCCAAAUGAGAAGCCCUAAUUUCAAAAUCCGAAAUCGUCGUCACCCGAGCCCGAAAUUCGGCAAUACAGCAGCCUCCUAUUCGACGUGGUCGAAGUUCUUGCAUCGGAAGUCCUCCCCGUUUCCCCUUCUUUUUCGAUGUGGAGCCCUAAUUCUUAGAAGAAGGAAAUUACUACUGUCGCGACUGGAAGGCCAACGAACGGCUGAGCUUCGCCCGUCUCUGCCUUGAAUCCAUGCUUGAGAAGGAGAGAAAGGAAAACGAGCCCUGAUUCUUUUUCUACUCCCUCCGUCAUGGUUCGGCUGCCACCUCCGCCGUCUGUGGAAGAUCGGCGAUUCAGCGGCGCCGCUCCAUUCACGACGCUGCUACUGCUGCUACACGAUCCCCUCCGAGGCAGCAAGCGCUGCCGUCAUCAUCGUCGUCUUGGCUUGACUGAACAGGGUCGCGUCCCUCGUCGUCGAAAAGUUAAGUAUUCUACUUGUUAUUGUAGAAAGUAUUUGAUGUUGCUUGUGAUUUCUGAGUUCAUGCCAAAAUAAACGAGGCAUAGGUGACUUCUCUCUAAGAUUCCUAAAGUGAGAUAUUAAACAAAAUGUUAUAUGUUUUUAAGUUAGUAAUUACUUAGAAUUAAGUAAAAUGAUGGCAGGAAUCACAACUUCAUCCCAAAGCUCCGAUUUUGACCCUCCCUCAAGAACCCUAGAAUUUCAUCUUCUUUAUAUUUGUAUCGAUUGACUAUGUAUACAUGUCUAUAUGUAUGUGAAGAAUUGAUUGGGAUCUAUUUGGGUAUUUAUUCACAAGAAAACAUGAUUCCCUAAUAGUUUAGUUUAAGUGGAUUUGGGAGUUCUUGGAAUAAACUAGCUACAUGUUCGAUGCUUGUGUAAUUGUACUCCUUGAAUUUUUAAAAUGAGAUUAUAUGAUAAUAAUUGGAGGAUAUCAAGCAUGCUACUAUAUGUUGUGUGUUGAACAUGAAUUAAGUUUAAGCUAAAGCAUGCUAAUGUGUAGUAAGAUGAUGUAAUUGAGUUCCUAUGGUUUGUAUUUGACAAACAUAUGAAUUAUAUGUUAAGUUGAAACAAAGGGGCUUUGCUGUCAGUUUUCGGCUUGACAGGGCAGUAUGUUUCGAGGUGCUUCUGAUGGUGUUCUCGUAGUCUAAAUAACUUGAAAUUUUUACUGUAAUAACUUCAUCAUGUGUAGUCGUUCUCUGCAAAAUUUCAGCUAAAUCCGAGACCAAUAGACAUGUCAAACUAUUUUCUGAAAUGUACUGCACGGAGCAGCAGAGUUCAGUGGCAGAUUCUGUCUUUGGUCAUAUAACUUCUUAUCCACUUGAGAUUUUGUGUUUUUGUAAAUUUCUUAGAAAUAUAGACGUUAAUAGCUUUCUAAAGAAGUGAGGUUUAUAUUUUUUCUUUGAAGUGGUUGAUUUUAUAUAAUUUUUCAAAGUUAGGAUUCAAAUGGGUAUGUUUCUUAAACUUGUGAUUGGUAGUUAAUUGAGAUCCUAAACUACUAAACUCAAAUUAAGGUUUUAUUGUUCUAAUUACCUAUUGAGGAUUAUUGAUUACUAAGCUUGUUAAUAUGAUAGUUGAUGGACAUAAUUAUGUUUAUAUGAUUAAUUACUUUGGGAUUUUGUGUUUUACAUGUAUGGUUAGUUGUAAAUUGAUCUCUAUGGAAUGGAUUUGUUUACUUUAAACUUUCUCAAGUAGAGGAAUUCCUAUAAGAUAGGAAUAUUAGUUUAUACUUUCUUAAAGUUCAUAAGAGUUAGUAUAUUGGUUAGUUUAGUUGAUUCAACCCUAGCUCUGCAGAAGAUUAAAAGUUUAUUGGGAUGUUAUUUAUAGCUAAUUCUUCUUAUCUAGUUAUCCAAUCUUAUUUUAGAAUCUUGCUAUUAUGAAGGUGACAGUAGCAAUGAUAGAUAAGUGAGCAAGAGUUCCUACACCGUUAAGCGUAUCAGGUGGGCUUUCUAAAUUCAGAAUUUGAAGUGCGCACUAUUUAAUGAUGUUUAUAUGAAUGAAAGUUAUAUUAAAAUUAUUGACUUGCCAAAUUAUUUUAUGAGCUUGUAUGUUACCAUCUACGAGAGAUAGACGAUAUCGGCCCUAUGCUGAAGCGAGAUGUCAGUAAGGGUUUGUGCACAUAGUUGUGACCGUGAGCCAUCGAGCGGGUUGGCCGGUCACUGUGAUCGGGAGCCUUCGGGCCGAUCACUGUGUUUGAGAAGGAGGCCUACUUCUCAACACAAGGUUACAUGAUGCGUAGUUAUGGUACAUACAUGUUAAUUGUCUGCAGACGUAUAUGAUGUUAUGAUGAUAUAUAUAUAUAGAAGUUUUACAGUUUUGGCGUGCACAGGUUAUUUUU